rnacentral:rRNA from 1 species
AGACCGAUAGCGAACAAGUAGAGUGAUCGAAAGAUGAAAAGCACUUUGGAAAGAGAGUUAAACAGUACGUGAAAUUGUUGAAAGGGAAGCGCUUGCAACCAGACUUGCGUGCGGCCGAUCAUCCGGUGUUCUCACCGGUGCACUCGGUCGCGCUCAGGCCAGCAUCGGUUUUGGUGGUUGGAUAAAGGCCCUAGGAAUGUAGCUUCUCUCGGGGAGUGUUAUAGCCUAGGGUGCAAUGCAGCCCACCGGGACCGAGGACCGCGCUUCGGCUAGGAUGCUGGCGUAAUGGUUGUAAGCGACCCGUCUUGAAACACGGACCAAG